UACAGAGGUCUCAAGCGUUGUUCGGAUUCAUUGGGCGUAAAGGGUGCGUAGGCGGCGCGGUAAGUCGGGUGUGAAAUCUCGGGGCUUAACUCCGAAACUGCAUUCGAUACUACCGUGCUUGAGGACUGGAGAGGAGACUGGAAUUUACGGUGUAGCGGUGAAAUGCGCAGAUAUCAGGAGGAACACCAGUGGCGAAGGCGGUGCUCUGGGCCGGAACUGACGCUGAUGAGCGAAAGCGUGGGGAGCAAACAGG
rnacentral:rRNA from 1 species